ACGCCUUCAUCCCGGGUCGAAACAAGCCCAGAUUUUUAGAGGAUGUUCGUCUCAUCGGCCCUAUCAUUUUGAUAUAUGGCAUGCCCGAUGGCAUGGCCCGAGCUGAGAGAAAUCGAAGAGAGAAGAUCACCAUUGGAAAAGCAUAAGUUGCAGAUUUUUCAAGAAGAAGGUCCCUUCAACCAAAUGACCGUAUUAGGUCGCUCGCAUAACGGAUCGGCUUGAAAAUGGACCCAUUGCGACCCGGAGGUCAAGGACUCCAUUCGAGCCAAACAUUGCACAUGAUGAACGGUCGGAUUUGCUGCAUUUCAGGGACAAAGGCAUUUUUCGGCCAUUGAAAUCCCAAUUCCGACCAAAAUUCCCCAAUAUAGAAGGUAAUCAUUCGAGCACCAAAUUGAGCUGCCAAACGAUCAUGACGACUUGCUUGUCAUUCUACAACAGAGAAAUCGAAGGAAAGACAUAGAGAAACGAGUGCAAUCUUGAAUCUAAGAUCGCAAGUUUCUCCCAUCUUUGCCGCCUCAAGUUUACAGCUCGAAACCUCGAUCCAUAGCUCAAAAUCUACACCAAGAUGAUCACCUCACCGAGCUUAUCAAGUUUACAAUGUUAUUUUGGCCGAAAGAUGGCCAGAAAGAUCCCAUACUAGCUACGUGAAAUCAUAAGAACGUUCAUGGUCAUGGAAGGACUGUUUUGGAAUUAGCAGGAUUAUGGGAGAGGGGUAAAAUCGUCAUUUUGCCUUUAAUUUUUAGCUUUUAUUUAAUUUAGAAAAUGUAUAUUUUUCAGCAAUUAGGUUAGUUUUGAGCAUCCACACAUGUUUUUAGUGGUUGCCUAUAUGUAACCAGCAUGUAAUAACUGAUGGAUCUUUUGAUCUUUUGAUCCUUUUGAUAAUCCUUUUGGCAUCCCUUGAUUACCCUGGUAAUCGCCCCUUUUUACUUACG
rnacentral:lncRNA from 1 species